UUGCUAUGAGUUCCUUCGAAUCACUACCAAGGACCUGUUUGGGACAUUUACAGCAGCCUUGGAUGAAUACUGUCCUCGACUGAUAAAGCUGUAUAGAGCCAGGAAAGGAGCCUUCGGACAAGGGAUGGAAAACCUAUUGGAGUCUCUUGAUGAACAGACAUCUGACAGCAACGAAUGAGAAUGUGUCUGGAAGGUCUGCCCUUAUUUGUCCGUGACAGUGCAGAGAAGCUCUUCCUGAAAUGCCUGGACACUGAUCCGGAAGAAAAGCAGACUGCUGGUGUCAAGAUGGGAGUCCUCACUGUUCUCGUAGAUGAUGGUGGACCUACCCCGUCUCAAAUGGUCAACAGUAUUGCUGUUGUUUUGGAAGAGACAAUUGUACUCUCGGAUCUACCAGACAUCCCAACUGCAUUUGUCUACCUUUUUGGUCUACUCUAUGCCCUGAACAUUGAGUUUCCAAAAGAACACAAGUACACUUUUGAGACUGUUCAGCACAUCUUCAUGGGACUUUCCACCAGUUGCUCACAGCGGAUCAGGAGUUUGAAAACAAAGCUCUUAAUCUAAGUGAGCAUUGGCAAAUUCAAAAACGGAUUCACAAGAUGUCCCCAUUUCAUUUUCCUGCCUUCACCGCUGUUUGUGACUUGAACAUUCAGUUCCCAAAACCAAACUAACCCAACUAACUAACUAAACCAACUAACUAACCCAAAUAACCCAAGUUCUUUACCUUUACAGAUAAAAUGUUAACUAGUG